CAUGCAUGUGUUGAAGAAGGAUGUUGCUACUUUGUGCAUAGCCAGUGAGAAAAACACUUGAAAACGCGCGAUUUAAGGUGGUCUUAAUUAAGUUGAAAACGCUAUAGUUGUGACAUAAUUACCGGAAAGGUCUAUUGCUCGCUGGUUUAGAAAUUUUUGAUUAAAUGCGUGACCAUGGGGCCUGGACGCGAAUUAAGAGCAUUUCAAUACCAUCAGUUGUGUCUUCAAGCUAGUGAUAGAUGCCAGUUGGCAAUAAAUAAGUAAUGUGUAAAUUAAUUUCAUUUUUGUGACAAAGUAAUUAAUCCAAGUACAGAUAAUUUGGCCAUGAACAGAUUAUCAGUGUGAGCCCACCGGACAUGCUUAGGAUUGCAGACUAUUUGAAAUUGGUCUGUGGCCUAAUUGUUGAACUGAAGGCAUUCACUUCUUCAGGUCGUUCGGGAAUAAAAAUUGUUUCCAAUUGCUGUUUGUUCCAAAUGUAUUUUUGGUCUAGACUGAGUAGACUCUGGGGCUAAAUAUCGCAUGAUCGCAACAUUUCUUAUUGCAUCUGUAGCCAUGAUUUAGGAGCGAAUUGUUAACAGAAAGCAGUGAAAGGAUUUGGAGCAACCUCGUACUACCCAAGAUUUUUCCAAACCCUGGGUACGAGGUUGAAUUUGGAGCAGAUUAGGUGGGAUAUAUAAUACAGGGUGUAUAAAAAAACUGAAUAGAUAUGAAUUUGCUCUCAAUUUCGCAAAACAGCUAUUAUUAUCCAGUUUUUGAUGUAUAUAGCUUCUUUGGGUACUUAUAAUGUAGAAUAAUAAAAACAAAUUCUCGAACUCAAAUUUUGUGAACCAGGGGGGGGUCUCUUUUCCAACUAACUAAAACUGGCUUGCGCACGAAAUUUAAAAGAAUUAAUCAUCUUCUUAGUUAAUAGAUGGAAACUUUGUUGGGUUUUUAAUUACUGUACAAAAUUUCAGACAAUUUGCUUUAGUUUAAGCCCUUUAACUAUUCAUUUUUCCCUAAAAAAUCAGCCUUUCAUAUUGCUGACAUAUGCAAAUUAGGCAAAGGCAUUAAUUAAGCAUGUUUGCGCGCAUAGUGAAAGGGCUUAAACUAAAGCAAAUUGUGCGAAAUUUUGGACAGUAAUUACAAACCCAACAAAGUUUUCAUCUAUUAACUCAAAAUAUGAUUAAAGCUUUUAAA